rnacentral:rRNA from 1 species
UACCAGCACCCCGAGUGGUCGGGACGAUUAUUGGGCCUAAAGCAUCCGUAGCCGGUACUGCAAGUCUUCCGUUAAAUCCACCUGCUCAACAGUUGGGCUGCGGGGGAUACUACAGCGCUAGGAGGCGGGAGAGGCAAGCGGUACUCAAUGGGUAGGGGUAAAAUCCGCUGAUCCAUUGAAGACCACCAGUGGCGAAGGCGGCUUGCCAGAACGCGCUCGACGGUGAGGGAUGAAAGCUGGGGGAGCAAACCGG